UAGUCAUGCUCAAAAGUACUUUCUUCGCCUUGCUAGCCUCAACAAUAAGAAACGGCGUUCGAGCCUCUUCGACAUGGUUGGGAGCAGCCAUCAAGCUAAUUAUAAUACUUGCAACUCCAAGCUCUGUGAUCCUGUUCCUAGUCAUCAAUAUUUGAAGCCAACAAGCUCUCAACAUGACACCAUUCUGCCUCCUCUUCUGGUAGGCCUUAACUCCUAUGAUAAUAAUCAAGAAACUGACUAUCCUCAUCAAUUAGCUUCUUGCCACCAUUCGGUACCUCUGCCAAAACCUUCAAACAGAUCAAAAUCAACAUCUUCAAAUGUAGCACACGAUGAUCUGGAGCUCACUCUCGCUGGUCCAACUCCUCUGGAAGGAGAUAAACCUUCCCCAAGUUCCUUCCUUAUCUCCAUAAGAGCUACCUAACUAGCUUGCUAAUUGACUGACAUCUAAGCUGAGAUGAUGAAGCUUUACAAAUAUAUGAUAUCAAUGUUAGUGCUAUUGAUUUCCGGUGUAGUCAUCCAGUGUUAAUAGAGAAAUUAAUAUUCUAUCAAAUUUUCUUCUUGGAAAUUGAUCAAUAAGUAGAUCGAUCUGUUAAUAUGCAGCUAUUGAAGUUGUAAACUAGCUCAUACAUCUAAAUGAAUUAUUUAUAAUAAGUAUAAGAAUCUAUUAA
rnacentral:misc_RNA from 1 species